ACAACUAAAUGCACCAUCAGUGUGUAAUGAAUAGUGCAAAAAGGUCUUAAAACUGAUCCGAGCACAUUACACACCAACAGAGGGGGAACAUCAUCCUCAGUGUUACUUAAUGAACACAGCACUUCCCAUAGAGCUUUCUAAGAGAUACAGUUACAGAAUGGGGGUAUAGGAAUGUUGUGGCAGCAGCUGGAAAAGAGCAUGAGAAUAAUGAAGGAUCAGCGUCCAGUGCACUGCGUAGGAUGGAGAGGCAACAAGUGCUCCUUCAGAUGCUAUCCAAAAAUAAGCCAAGCUCUUUAUCUUGCUGAAGGCCCGGGGUGGGCCAAAGUCCAGCGAAUCUUUUCAAUAAUCGCUCUUUGCUAAUUGUACCCUGGAAAAUAUUCCAUUACUUUAUGACAUUUACGAAAAAGUUGUAUCAAACAAUACAACAAGUCUUUUGGAUAGCUGUGCCUUCUGCACAAGAAGUAUUAAUAUAUGGUAAUUCAGCAUAUGAAACAUUACUUUAAUUCUCCAAAAAGACGAUAAAAUAACCCUCAUUGACCCCCUAUAACAGAACUGUUGGACAUUAGUGACAAUAAAGCAUAUCUCAGUAUUGACUUGGUCUUUAUAUCUUACAGUAACCAGCAGGGGAACAGAAAUGAAGCAAAAUGGGUGAACAUAAUGGGAUGGAUGGUGGACAUGUAGCCCUGGCAUUUAGUAUAUUCAUACCUCAUAGAAGAAUGCUAGAAUGUACUUUUCAUUAUUUAAUCCUUUAACAAAUUUAACAAAUUAUUUCAUAACAAAAUACAUUUUGAUUGUUGAUUUAAUUACAAAUUACUGAAUAUUAAUAUAAUAUAAUAUAAUAUAAUAUAAUAUAUUUAAAAGGAGCUUAGAAAAUGGUCUACUAAUGCGCUUUCUUACAAGCCCUCACAAAUGCUGUUUUGACUGACACUUUACUUAGCAGGUGAUGAUAAAUGUUGUCGUACAAAGUGAGCUUCUUGUAAUACUGUCUCUCCCAAGAGACGCUUCACUCUGAAGUCAUGGGGUUCAACGGCACCAGACAUCAUCCAGUCCAGAACGGGACCCUCAAACUGUCACCAUGCCUAAUCUGAAGCUGCCAGUCUGUCUAUGCUACAGACAUUUACACUAAGCCUCUGUACAGUACAGUAUAUCUACAAAUGCCGUGAAUAUUCAUAACUAAUAAUAAGCAUGCAAAAUGGAUAUGAGGGAGACUUGGCCGCUUGACAACAUCAGUCUCUCUGACAGAGAGAAGGCUGGAGAAUCGAAUGAAUGAAAGGAAGAAGUGUCAAUGUGAUGUCCCGGCCAGUUCAAAGGGUGCAUUCCUAGCAUUCAGUAGAGGUGGUCACAAUAGAAGUACAUCAAAGCAGACACCUUGAGCCACGCACAAAGCCCAAGCAUCCAUCAACAAUCCCAGAAUUCCUCUGUCCCGCCUUCUACUCCUCACGGCUAACGAAGAAUAGUACGUUCCAAAGAGCAGGAACCUGCUCCCUA